AUUCUGUAAAGCCUGCUGGAUUUCGGCAUAACGGGAGCAGGCGCAAAAACAAGCCUCACCGCGCUGCUGAAGCUGGUGUAGACUGCAAGUGAGUAAGGUUGACAUCUGGUUUUUAAGGCCGAAGAAUUGCUGGAAACUUGUUAUCACAAGACACAGUCCAUUGGCUGUGUAAGACUUGUUGUGGUUGCUUAUUGUCAUUCUUUUUUUUUUUUUUUUUUUU
rnacentral:lncRNA from 1 species